AUGUUCGCGUCGUAAAAUCAACCAUUGAUGCAUGCGUCAAGGUAGGCUGCCUACAUUACACCCCUUUCGGUGCGAUAAAUGCUUUGUGCACCGGGAUGCCCGGAAUUAACAUAGGACUUAAUAAGUACCAUGCUGGCUAAUAGUGUAAACUAAAUCAAAUCUUGGAGCAACACAAGGUAUGAAGAAACCAUGAAGCUCAAUUCUAUUUACACUGGCAAUAUAAUAUCAAAGAAUUUGAUACAAUUUUCUGUCUCUCCCAAAAAGGCAAAAGAAAAUUUACAUUCACCUGACUCAAACCUUCUGUUAUCACACCUUGCAUCUAGACUAUAAUAUAACUUUGUUACAAAAGGUGAUGUAACUACAUAAGAAGCAAAUGACAUUGACAAGAAGAAACCAAUUAAUCAAAUGAAUUGGCAUACUGUAAGUUGAUCCGCAUAGGAUUAAAACCGUUGGAGGCGUGGGAUGGCUUGACCUGUUACCAAAAUUUUUAUCUGCAAUCUGUUGAAUUGAAAGUAUCUGCAAAUCCGGAAGGUUUUGAGGGUAUGCUCGACUGCGUGUCACUGAUCGAGAAGUCAUCGAACAUUCUUGAAGUUCCUUCAUCAGCUUGCCACCUUUGAAGGGCUUGAGGAAGGCUCAUGUCGAGGUCAAUGCCAUAGCCAUCAUCAUCUUCAUUUCUUGUAGGCUUCCACUGCUCAACGAGACUCAUGUCGAGGUCAAUGCCAUAGCCGUCGUCAUCUUCAUUUCUUGUAGGCUUCCACUGCUCUACAAGGGGACCAAGAACGUUAACAGCAUGUCCCAUAUCAGGCCGCUGAAAAGGCUCCCGAGCAGUGCAAUGGCCAGCCAACUCAGCA
rnacentral:lncRNA from 1 species